rnacentral:rRNA from 1 species
AACGAACGCUGGCGGCAUGCCUAACACAUGCAAGUCGAACGAGAACUUCGGGCCUAGUGGCGCACGGGUGCGUAACGCGUGGGAACCUGCCCUUAGGUUCGGAAUAACUCCCCGAAAGGGGUGCUAAUACCGGAUAAUGUCUUCGGAGCAAAGAUUUCUCGCCUUUGGAUGGGCCCGCGUUGGAUUAGGUAGUUGGUAGGGUAAAAGCCUACCAAGGCGACGAUCCAUAGCUGGUCUGAGAGGAUGAUCAGCCACACUGGGACUGAGACACGGCCCAGACUCCUACGGGAGGCAGCAGUGGGGAAUAUUAGACAAUGGGCGAAAGCCUGAUCCAGCCAUGCCGCGUGAGUGAUGAAGGCCUUAGGGUUGUAAAGCUCUUUUACCCGGGAUGAUAAUGACAGUACCGGGAGAAUAAGCUCCGGCUAACUCCGUG